GGAAUGGGAAUAAAUGCUGGAUCCCUUUCAAAUAUGAAAAAUUGCCAACCUUCUGUUUUGGAUGUGGCAAACUGGGGCAUAGUCUUCAGGAUUGUACAAGCAUUACACCUGUGGAGAAAAUUAGAAUCAGAGAAGAUCCACCUUACUCUUUGGCAUUAAAAGCAGAAUUAAAUUUGAUUGGGAAGGAGAGUCUGGAGUUUAAUGCUUUAUCAAAAAAAUUACAAGUGCAAUGUUCGUAUACAGGAGUUGUAAACAGUGAACAAAGGAGCGAUAUGAUGGAAGGAGUACAGGAGGAUACUUGGCUGGAAACUUUAGAAGCGGGAUUACAGAUACAACAGAAUGAAGAAACAAAGGGAAAAACCACAAAAAAUAGAAACACAAAUAUAUUGAAGCAGGGCAGGGAAGCUAGGUGGAAAAGAGUUGAAAAAAUAGAAGUGAUGAGACAGUAUGAGGCAGAGAGUAAGCUGCAAAAACGAAAAUGGGAAGAGUUGGUACAGGAAGAUUACGGUGUAAAUGGGGAACAGGAAGGAGCAAUUAAAAGGAUGAAAUUUGGCGAUCAAGACCUAACACAAGAGACGGACAUCAGUUUUCCAGUUGAAUCACCCAACCAGAAUGAAUCGGCGACUGCCAAAAGGCAAGCCGACCGGUCGCAAUGAAAAUCAUAUGCUGGAAUGUCCGUGGAUUGGGGAGUCCACGGGCAGUGAGAAGGCUUCGGUUUUUACUGAAGCAAAAUAAUCCUCAAUUGGUCUUCCUCAUGGAGACUAAGGUUAGUGGAAAACGAAUGGAGAAAAUUAGGAGGAGGUGUGGGUUUAUAAAUGGGAUAGAUGUAGAUGCAACAGGUUCGCGGGGAGGCAUUUGCCUAGCAUGGAAAGAGGCGGUUCAAGUUGAGCUCAGAACUUUCUCAACCAAUCAUAUUGAUGUGCUGAUUGAAGAAGAAGUUAGUAAAGAGUUGAGAUUCACCGGCUUUUAUGGAUCCCCUUACGCACAGAAUAAAAAUGCUUCAUGGGAUUUAUUAAGAUAUUUAGGACAGGAACAAGAGUAUCCUUGGUUGGUAAAUGGAGAUUUCAAUGAAAUUGCUUAUUCCUUUGAAAAAAUGGGUGGUCAACCGAGGGAGGAAAAAAGGAUGGAAGUGUUCCGUGAGGUUUUAAGAGAAUGUUCUCUUAUUGAUGUGGGAUACUCGGGUAAAUGGUAUACAUGGGAAAUGGGAAAUUUACCGGAAACAAAUAUUAGAGAAAGACUUGACAGGAGUGUAGCAAAUGAAAAAUGGAUGGAAAUUUUUCCAACAGGCAAUGUACACCACUUAACGUCUUCUUUUUCGGAUCAUUGUCCUCUUUUAAUUAGUACCAGCACUGAAAGUAAUAUGAAGAGAAUCCCAGUUUUUAAAUUUGAAGCAUGGUGGACUACAGAGAAAACGAUUGAAGAGGAGAUAAAGAGUUCAUGGGAAUCAUCAAAUGGAUCCAUUUUUGAAAAGUUAGAAAGAUUACAGACCAAUCUGACAAGAUGGGCUAAUUCAAUAAAGAAAAAAUAAAAGGGAUUGACCGGUAAACUUACAAAAGAGCUUGAACGAUUAUUAGAGGAUGAACGAAAUGAUGAUACGAUGGCACAGAUUAUUGAUAAGAGAAUACAUCUGAAUAUGGAGAUUGACAGAGAAGAAAUGUACUGGGAGCAAAGAGCACGGGCUAACUGGCUUAAGCUGGGGGAUAAAAAUACGGCUUUCUUCCACAAAUAUGCCUCUAUGCGAAAACGAAUCAACACAAUUAGUAGGUUGGAUAUAGAUGAUGGGGAGGGGAUCUAUGAGGAAUCAGAAAUAAAUACAAGUGUAACAAAGUAUUUCCAGGAACUCUUUUCAACUAAUGGAAUAGGAGACCUAUCUCAUCUCCUCUCAGGUAUAAACAACAACAUUUCUUCAGAUAUUAAUAUGGCCCUUUUAGAAAAGUUUUCGGAAGAAGAGAUUUUCAGUGCAGUUAAAAGUAUGGGACCUACUAAAGCACCUGGUUAUGAUGGUUUUCCGGCAUUAUUUUUUCAAAAAUACUGGGAUAUUGUGGGUAAAGAUGUUGGGAAGUUUUGUUUGGAGUUUUUGAACAAUGGAAAGGAUAUUGAAGAUCUAAAUUUAACAGAGAUUAUUCUCAUUCCGAAGAAUUCCAAUCCUACCACUCUCGCCAAUUUCAGACCCAUUAGCCUAUGCACUGUAGUAUAUAAAAUCAUUGCCAAAUCUAUUGCCAAUCGUGUGCAGACAGUUAUUGGAAGGUGUAUUGAUAGUGCUCAAAGUGCUUUUGUUCCUGGGUGGCUUAUUUCGGACAAUAUCUUAAUAGCCUGUGAAGUUUUACAUACACUUCGUCAAAAGCGUAACGGUAAAAAAGGUCUCAUAGCGUUAAAGCUGGAUAUGAGUAAAGCUUAUGAUAGAGUUGAAUGGGGUUUUUUGAAGGCAGUUAUGGUCAGUAUGGGUUUUGCAGAGGAAUGGGUAUCACUAAUUAUGCGAUGUAUCUCUAUAGUAUCUUAUGUUGUUUCCAUAAAUGGUAAAAGAGGCAGAGUUUUUAAACCUACUAGAGGACUCCGACAAGGUGAUCCGCUUAGUCCUUUCCUUUUUCUUAUUUGCAGCGAAAGACUUUCCUCUUUGAUCAGGAUCGCAACACGGGAAGGACUGAUAAAUGGAGUAAAGGCCAGCAGAAGAGGUCCGACAAGUUCACAUUUAUUAUUUGCAGACGACUGCAUGUUGUUUGGUGAAGCGACUAAAGACAUGAUAAGAAUCUUAAAGGAGAUUUUGACGGAAUAUGAGAUUAGUUCUGGUCAAUGUGUGAAUUUUAACAAGUCCUCAAUUUUUUUCAGCUCGAAUACAAAAGAAGCAGAUAAAAUUAGCAUCUCGGCUGAAUUGGGGAUAAGAUGCUCGACUAAUAUAGAAAAGUAUCUUGGACUGCCAAGCAUGGUAGGAAGAAAGAAGAAGGAAGCCUUUCAGAAUCUAAAGGAUAAAAUUAAACAGAAGAUUGAUAAUUGGAGUACACGUUUCUUAUCUCAAGGAGGUAAAGAAUUUUUCAUUAAAAUAGUACUUCAAGCAAUCCCUAUUUAUGCGAUGACAUGUUUUUUGCUACCAAAAUCUUUCUGUGAGGAGAUAGAAAAACUGUUUGCCAGAUUCUGGUGGCAGAAAGGAAAAGGCAAAAAAGGGAUACAUUGGUGCCGAUGGGAAUAUAUGUGUAAGCCUAAAGAGAAGGGAGGUAUGGGUUUCCGUAAUAUGGCGCAAUUCAAUAUCUCAUUAUUGGCUAAACAAGGAUGGCAGAUUAUGAAUAAUCAGGGUUCUCUUGUUGCGCAAGUUUUUAAAGCCAAAUACUUCCCAGAAAAUGAUUUUUUAAACUCCCAGCUAGGGAACUCUUGUUCUUAUGUGUGGAAAAGUGUUUGGGCAGCAAAAGCCUUAUUGAUAACAGGGCACUGUUGGAAGGUGGGAACGGAUUCUAGUAUAUCCAUUACUGAUGCUUGGAUUCCAGAUUCUGAUAAUUUCAAAUUGUCGUCAGGAGUUAAUUUUAUGCGCGUUUCUAAAGUAAAGGAGUUAAUCGACAGUAAUAGUAGAAGCUGGAAUAGAGAGUUGAUUAACAAUACCUUCACUGAAGCUGAUGCUGAAAGAAUCCUCAGGAUCCCGCUGGCACGAUCACCGCAUGAAGAUUUUCUUAUUUGGGGAGGGGAGAAGUCGGGUGAAUUCACGGUUAGAAGUGCCUAUCAACUAUUACAGAGAUUAAUUGAUAAUCCUAGAGCUUAUGCUUUACAAAACCUCUACAGAAAAUUUUACAAAAC
rnacentral:lncRNA from 1 species